rnacentral:rRNA from 1 species
GUGCCAGCAGCCGCGGUAAUACGGGGGGUGCGAGCGUUGUCCGGAAUCACUGGGCGUAAAGGGCGCGUAGGUGGCGUGAUAAGGGUGUGGUGAAAGCCCGGGGCUCAACCCCGGGUCUGCCAUGCCGACUGUCAGGCUAGAGUACUGUAGGGGCAGGCGGAAUUCCGGGUGUAGCGGUGGAAUGCGUAGAGAUCCGGAGGAAGACCGGUGGCGAAGGCGGCCUGCUGGGCAGUUACUGACACUGAGGCGCGACAGCGUGGGGAGCAAACAGGAUUAGAAACCCCCGUAGUCC